AUUGAACGCUGGCGGCAUGCCUUACACAUGCAAGUCGAACGGCAGCACGGGGGCAACCCUGGUGGCGAGUGGCGAACGGGUGAGUAAUACAUCGGAACGUGCCCAGUAGUGGGGGAUAGCCCGGCGAAAGCCGGAUUAAUACCGCAUACGACCUACGGGUGAAAGGCGGGGGAUCGCAAGACCUCGUGCUACCGGAGCGGCCGAUGUCAGAUUAGGUUGUUGGGUAGGGGUAAAACGCCUACCAAGCCGACGAUCUGUAGCUGGUCUGAGAGGACGACCAGCCACACUGGGACUGAGACACCGGCCCAGACUCCGUACGGGAGGCAGCAGGUGGGG
rnacentral:rRNA from 1 species